GGCUUAAAUACGUAUGAUAUCUUGAUGGAGAACACUCAAAGUACUCAAAAUGUAUUUUAAAUAGUGCUUUUUAUUUAAGCAUCAAAUCUUUGGAUACAGAGUGUCGACGUUUCAGUCCCACUGGACUUUUAUCAAGAUGCUUAUAUAAAAAGCACUAUUUGAAAUAUAUUUUGAGUCCUUUGAGUGCUCUCCAUCAAGAUAUCAAUAUGUGUGUGUGUAUUUUAAAGAGGAACUGUCAGGACACUGGAAAAUAUUCUACUGAAUAAAACAUUCAAAAUCACAUAGAAUUUUGGGUUAACCUUUUUUCAUAGAAUGUUCAAUUAUCUUUUAAAUCUACAAUAAAGACUUGGCAACGGACAUCACAAUCCAGUUUAGAUCCAGGAGGCAUUCUGCUAUGUUCUGCAUGGCUUCUCUAUAUUGACUGACAAGGGCUAGGAUUAGAAUAAUGACUGACAGAGAACUAAGAUGGAGGUGAAAAAGGGUUAUGGAUUUCUACAUCUAGUGUAAUUUGUC